ACGUCAAAAUUUUUCAGCUUCGGAGACUGAAAUCGUCUGCCUGACCUCUAGGGUGCGUAAGCGACCUCUUGACGAUAGAACUAUGCGUGCAGUCGUACUUGUAUGGAGCUGUUCCGCGGUUUGCCAAUAGUGUUCGAAAUUCCCGCGGCGGGUAGGUGUCUAGGGCGUGCGAUCUAUCAACAGUCGAGAUGAAACCAUCGUAGCAAAUAGUCUUCAAUGCAGUUCAGCAUGCUAAGAGGAUAACGUGAAUCGGUCUUGCGGUGGUGGAUGUAAUUAGUAUUAUCGUUGCUGUUAUUCUUGCCCGCUUGUUUUCAUCAGUAUCUGCUAACAUUUCCCUUU